CGCGGCCUAUCAGCUUGUUGGUGGUGUAACGGCCUACCAAGGCGAUGACGGGUAGCUGACGUGAGAGCGUGAGCAGCCACACUGGGACUGAGACACGGCCCAGACUCCUACGGGAGGCAGCAGUGGGGAAUCUUGCACAAUGGGCGAAAGCCUGAUGCAGCAACGCCGCGUGCGGGAAGAAGGCCCUAGGGUUGUAAACCCCUUUCAGCAGGGAAGAAGCGAAAGUGACGGUACCUGCAGAAGAAGCGCCGGCUAACUACGUGCCAGCAGCCGCGGUAAUACGUAGGGCGCAAGCGUUGUCCGGAAUUAUUGGGCGUAAAGAGCUCGUAGGCGGUUCGUCGCGUCUGCUGUGAAAUCCCGAGGCUCAACCUCGGGCCUGCAGUGGGUACGGGCGAACUAGAGUGUGGUAGGGGAGACUGGAAUUCCUGGUGUAGCGGUGGAAUGCGCAGAUAUCAGGAGGAACACCGAUGGCGAAGGCAGGUCUCUGGGCCACAACUGACGCUGAGGAGCGAAAGCGUGGGGAGCGAACAGGAUUAGAUACCCUGGUAGUCCACGCCGUAAACGGUGGGCACUAGGUGUGGGGACCAUUCCACGGUCUCUGCGCCGCAGCUAACGCAUUAAGUGCCCCGCCUGGGGAGUACGG
rnacentral:rRNA from 1 species